CCGCUAACCCGCAAGGGGGCGUGGUCCUAAAGGAGUGACUGGUAACUGGGGUG
rnacentral:rRNA from 1 species